rnacentral:rRNA from 1 species
AGUGGCGAACGGGUGAGGAACACGUAAGAAUCUGCCCCUCGGUCGGGGACAACUCUUGGAAACGAGAGCUAAUACCCGAUACGCUGUGGAGUGAAAGAAUUUCGCCGAGGGAUGAUCUUGCGUCUGAUUAGCUAGUUGGUGUGGUAAUGGCAUACCAAGGCGACGAUCAGUAGCUGGUCUGAGAGGAUGAACAGCCACAUUGGAACUGAGACACGGUCCAAACUCCUACGGGAGGCAGCAGUGGGGAAUUUUCCGCAGUGGACGAAAGUCUGACGGAGCGACGCUGCGUGAAGGAUGACGGCCUGCGGGUUGUAAACUUCUUUUCUCGAAGAAGAAGCUCUGACGGUAUUCGAGGAAUAAGCAUCGGCUAACUCCGUGCCAGCAGCCGCGGUAAUACGGAGGAUGCAAGUGUUAUUCGGAAUGAUUGGGCGUAAAGCGUCUGUAGGCUGUAUAGAAAGUCUUUUGUUAAAUGCCUCGGCUCAACCGAGAUCCAGCAAAGGAAACUUCUAUACUUGAGGGAAGUAGAGGUACAGGGAAUUCCCGGUGAGCGGUGAAAUGCGUAGAUAUCGGGAGGAACACCAAUAUGGCGAAGGCACUGUACUGGGCUUUACCUGACGCUCAGAGACGAAAGCUAAAGGAGUGAUUAGGAUUAGAUACCCUAGUAAUUUUAGCCGUAAACGAUGGAAACUCACUGCCGAGCGAAAUACAACGAGCGGUGGUCAAGCUAACGCGUGAAGUUUCCCGCCUGGGGAUUAC